UACAGAGGGGGCAAGCGUUGUUCGGAAUUACUGGGCGUAAAGGGCGCGUAGGCGGCCUUCUAAGUCGAACGUGAAAUCCCUGGGCUCAACCCAGGAACUGCGUCCGAUACUGGAAGGCUUGAAUCCGGGAGAGGGAUGCGGAAUUCCAGGUGUAGCGGUGAAAUGCGUAGAUAUCUGGAGGAACACCGGUGGCGAAGGCGGCAUCCUGGACCGGUAUUGACGCUGAGGAGCGAAAGCUAGGGGAGCAAACGGG
rnacentral:rRNA from 1 species